UACGGAGGGGGCUAGCGUUGUUCGGAAUCACUGGGCGUAAAGGGCGCGUAGGCGGCUUUAUAAGUCGGGGGUGAAAGCCUGUGGCUCAACCACAGAAUUGCCUUCGAUACUGUAUGGCUUGAGACCGGAAGAGGUAAGUGGAACUGCGAGUGUAGAGGUGAAAUUCGUAGAUAUUCGCAAGAACACCAGUGGCGAAGGCGGCUUACUGGUCCGGUUCUGACGCUGAGGCGCGAAAAGCGUGGGGAGCAAACAGG
rnacentral:rRNA from 1 species